rnacentral:rRNA from 1 species
GGUGGCAAGCGUUGUCCGGAAUUACUGGGUGUAAAGGGAGCGUAGGCGGGGAGGCAAGUUGAAUGUUUAAACUAUCGGCUCAACUGAUAGUCGCGUUCAAAACUGCCACUCUUGAGUGCAGUAGAGGUAGGCGGAAUUCCUAGUGUAGCGGUGAAAUGCGUAGAUAUUAGGAGGAACACCAGUGGCGAAGGCGGCCUACUGGGCUGUAACUGACGCUGAGGCUCGAAAGCGUGGGUAGCAAACA